GCCAUCCUAACUCCUAAGCCUCAAUGAGAUUUAAGGUGCACUGAAACUAGCAGUCUUCUCCCUGAAUUCUGGAUUGUCUUUCCUCUUUGAAUAAGCAAAUGAAACCAAUGAAGUUGACCAGCAGCAAAGGGGUAUCAGUUUGAAUAUNGCCAAAAAUGUUCCCUGACAUGCUGUGUGACUGCUUGAUAUCCAGGCUGGCUACUUAUCCCCAAGAAAACAUCAUAUUUGUGCACCCAACGACAGGUUUCUUCCUCCACACAGUAAUCAUGAAAUUGUCAACAAGGUGGUAUGUUUUCUUCAUUUCUUGCCAGUGCUAGAUGCACCCAGCAUAGACCAAGAAUUCAACAAUGUAUCUACAGAGUUGAUUUUGCACCUUAGCA
rnacentral:misc_RNA from 1 species